GCUUACGGCCACACCUCCCUGAGCAUGCCCGAUCCGUCUGAUCUCGGAAGCUAAGCAGGGUCGGGCCCGGUUAGUACUUGGAUGGGAGACCGCCUUGGGAAUACCAGGGCUGUAAGCC
rnacentral:rRNA from 1 species